rnacentral:lncRNA from 10 species
UCUCUUAUUCAAGAUCUGUUGUCAGGUCACAUCUAUCUUGAACCUAUGCAAAAAAAAAAAAAUUGUUUUGUUUUACCCACAUGCCAAUUGUAGAUUCAGAGCUUUUUAUUUUAUUUUAUUUUUGAGAUGGAGUCUUGCUCUGUCACCCAGGCUGGAAUGCAGUGGUGUGAUCUCAGCUCACUGCAACCUCUGCCUCCAGGGUUCAAGUGAUUCUCCUUCCUCAGCCUCCCGAGUAGCUG